CUCUAACUUCUCUCCUCUCCUUUGGCGGCGGUGGCGGCAGCCCCUCUCUCCCUUUUCUUUGUUAUUCCUCUCCUCUCCUUCUCCUACUAUUCUCCUCCUUCUUCACCUUCUCUGUUUUUUCCUUUCUUCCACUGCUGCCACUCCUCCCCUCUAUUUUUUUUCUCUUUUCCCUCUCCUUCUCCUUCUCUUUUUUCUCCUUCUUCUCCUUCUCUUCUCCUCCUCUAUUUCUUCCCUUCAUCCGGUGGUAGCAACGUCGUCGCCGCUCUUCCCCUCCCUCUUUUUCCCUCUUCUUCCUCUCCUCCUCCUCUCAACGGUAUCGAAAACAAAUAGGUAAAAAAACUCAUAUAUGCAUCCCUACCCUUCUAUUUUCACGAUUUUAACUAGAUCCGGGUUUGCAUGUCGUCAGAGAUGCCUUCGACGACUUGCAAGCUCAGAUCUACAAAUCAAGGAUAUGAAUCUUGCUUGGUGGCUUUUUCUCACUUGUUUUAUUUUUUUUUAUUUUGUGUUUGCUGGGGAUGGGAAUCGGCGGAGAGGGAAAAAAGAAACAGAGAAAAGAAGAAAGGGAAAAAAGGGACGUCGCCGAUGAUGGAUCUGCCGGCCGGAGAUGAGACGGACGAGGGGAGGUAAAAACUCGGUUCUUAUUUGUCCUGAUUUAGCUUGAAAAUUGAUUAUUUUAUCAUCUUUAAUAGAAUUUCAACAUUGUUGUUUAACAGAAAUCCCUCUUUUAAGCUCGAUUUCAUCAUUAUGUUGUGAGUAGCUUUACAGUUCUUGAGUUCUUGGUGCAGAUGGUGUGAAAAUGAUGAUAAAUGGUGUUUGAGUCUCUUGUUAAUGUAUUUCCAGCAACUUUUAUUUGUCUUAGGAUGUUUAUUUCACUGUUUAGUUCAUUGUUUGCUAUGACGAAUAAUCUAUCCAUUUAGUUGUAAUGAAAACUAUAUUAGAAGUGGCUUUAAACGACAUAGCAUAACAAACACAUCUGUAUGCGCGAGCGGAUAAUAUAAGUGAUAUUUAAACGAUCGAAAAUAGGGAUGUUUGUGAAUGGUAUACCUUUAAGACGAGGCUUUUUGUCGUGUUUCAGAUAACGGCGCUCUUCCUCGUUUCCUAACUUUUGGGACGUCUGGACUUCCUUCUUUGAUGGCUUUUACGUGGGUGAUGACAUAAGAGAUUUGUAAUAUUUAUUUUUUGGACUUUGUGGGUUGAGGGUUUGUAUUGUUGUUGGGUUCCUAGGGGAGAAUUGGGGGGAGUCUCUGGGAAUUGUAAUAUUUUCCUUCGAGUUUACUUUCUGUUGUCCCCUUUUUCUUUGCUUGAAAAUUUGUUUGUCCUUUUAAAUGGAAAAAAGGUUGUCACCUCUCUUGACUUUCAAUCAAACAUCAACAACCAUGACGGACACAAAAGGGAAGUGACUUCCC
rnacentral:lncRNA from 1 species